UGAACGCUGGCGGCGUGCCUAAUACAUGCAAAUCGAGCGCACAGACGCGGAGCUUGCUCCUUUGACGUUAGCGGCGGACGGGUGAGUAACACGUAGGUAACCUACCUAUAAGACUGGGAUAACUUCGGGAAACCGGAGCUAAUACCGGAUAAUAUUUCGAACCGCAUGGUUCGAUAGUGAAAGAUGGCUUUGCUAUCACUUAUAGAUGGACCUGCGCCGUAUUAGCUAGUUGGUAAGGUAACGGCUUACCAAGGCAACGAUACGUAGCCGACCUGAGAGGGUGAUCGGCCACACUGGAACUGAGACACGGUCCAGACUCCUACGGGAGGCAGCAGUAGGGAAUCUUCCGCAAUGGGCGAAAGCCUGACGGAGCAACGCCGCGUGAGUGAUGAAGGUCUUCGGAUCGUAAAACUCUGUUAUUAGGGAAGAACAAACGUGUAAGUAACUGUGCACGUCUUGACGGUACCUAAUCAGAAAGCCACGGCUAACUACGUG
rnacentral:rRNA from 1 species